GUAGGGAAUCUUGCGCAAUGGGCGAAAGCCUGACGCAGCCAUGCCGCGUGAAUGAUGAAGGUCUUAGGAUUGUAAAAUUCUUUCACCGGGGACGAUAAUGACGGUACCCGGAGAAGAAGCCCCGGCUAACUUCGUGCCAGCAGCCGCGGUAAUACGAAGGGGGCUAGCGUUGCUCGGAAUUACUGGGCGUAAAGGGAGCGUAGGCGGAUAGUUUAGUCAGAGGUGAAAGCCCAGGGCUCAACCUUGGAAUUGCCUUUGAUACUGGCUGUCUUGAGUUUGGGAGAGGUGAGUGGAACUCCGAGUGUAGAGGUGAAAUUCGUAGAUAUUCGGAAGAACACCAGUGGCGAAGGCGACUCACUGGCCCAAUACUGACGCUGAGGCGCGAAAGCGUGGGGAGCAAACAGGAUUAGAAACCCGAGUAGUCC
rnacentral:rRNA from 1 species